GGGGACCUGAUGCAGCCAUGCCGCGUGUGUGAAGAAGGCCUUCGGGUUGUAAAGCACUUUCAGUUGUGAGGAAAAGUUAGUAGUUAAUACCUGCUAGCCGUGACGUUAACAACAGAAGAAGCACCGGCUAACUCCGUGCCAGCAGCCGCGGUAAUACGGAGGGUGCGAGCGUUAAUCGGAAUUACUGGGCGUAAAGCGCACGCAGGCGGUUUGUUAAGCUAGAUGUGAAAGCCCCGGGCUCAACCUGGGAUGGUCAUUUAGAACUGGCAGACUAGAGUCUUGGAGAGGGGAGUGGAAUUCCAGGUGUAGCGGUGAAAUGCGUAGAUAUCUGGAGGAACAUCAGUGGCGAAGGCGACUCCCUGGCCAAAGACUGACGCUCAUGUGCGAAAGUGUGGGUAGCGAACAGGAUUAGAUACCCUGGUAGUCCACACCGUAAACGCUGUCUACUAGCUGUGUGUGUCUUUAAGUCGUGCGUAGCGAAGCUAACGCGCUAAGUAGACCGCCUGGGGAGUACGGCCGCAAGGUUAAAACUCAAAUG
rnacentral:rRNA from 1 species